AGAACUCCAUCCGGCACAACCUGUCCCUGCACACGCGCUUCAUCCGCGUGCAGAACGAGGGCACGGGCAAGAGCUCCUGGUGGAUGCUGAACCCCGAGGGCGGCAAGACGGGCAAGACGCCGCGGCGGCGCGCCGUGUCCAUGGACAACAACAGCAAGUUCCUGCGCAUCAAGGGCAAGGCCAGCAAGAAGAAGCAGCUGCAGGUGACGCAGGAGCGCGGCGAGGACAGCCCGUCCUCCCAGCAGCCCAAGUGGUCGGAGAGCCCCGCGUCCCAUGCCAGCGACGAGUACGACGCCUGGGCGGACUUCAGGACGCGGGCCAGCUCCACGGCCAGCACGCUGAGCGGGCGCCUCUCGCCCAUCAUGGCCAACCACGAGCCGGACGAGCUGGAGGAGGACGAUGGCACGCCCUCGUCGCCGCUGAUGUACCCCAGCCCUUCCAGCACCAUGUCUCCUUCUCUGAGCGCCCGCUGCUCCGUGGAGCUGCCCCGGCUGACCGACCUGACCGGCACCAUCAGCCUGAACGAGAGCCUGGGGGAGAGCAUGCUGGAGGACCUUCAGGAUGGCUACAGCAUGAGCCCCUCGCAGCAGCUCCCCCCGGCCGCCCUGCGGCAGAGGAGCUCCAGCUUCACCUUCAACUCCAAGUGCUCCAGCAUGGGGGCCGCCUCCAACACCUACUGCGGGACCAUCUACAGCCAGCCGGCCAUGGGCCUCAUGCGGCGCCUGCCCAUGCAGACCAUCCAGGAAAACAAGCAGGCCACCUUCUCGCCCGCCAGCUCCUACAGGAACGCCUCGCUGCAGGACCUGCUCUCCUCCAUCUCCUAUGCGCACAAGGAGAGCAUGGUCCCGGGGGAGCUGCCCCCGCUGCCGCAGGCCAGCCCCAUGGUGCCGGCCCGUGGCCACAGACACAACCCGCUGCUGUGCGGGGCUGGGGAGCAGGCCCUGUCCUCCUACCCGCCCCACCCGGGCUCUCUGAUGAAGAGCAACGCCCUGUACCACCCGUCACCAGCCGGCCACCACCCUGCGGUCAGCACCAGUGCCUUAGCCAAUCCUGUCAGCCUUAUGAGCCUGCCCAGUGAGUCGUGCAGCAUGACGGCCGUGCCGCACCACCACGGGCACCUGCAUCCCUACGCCAAUAGCCAAGGGGCACACAUGAGCCUGCUGGAUUCGCUGCAGGGCCCCUACCCGGGGGCCGUCCACCCCCCCGUGUUGGGCCAGGACAGGUUCCCAGCAGACCUGGACCUGGACAUGUUCAACGGGAGCCUGGAGUGCGACGUGGAGUCCAUCAUCCUCAAUGACUUUAUGGACAGCGAUGAGAUGGAUUUCAACUUCGACUCGGCGCUCCCGCCGCAGAACGGGCUCAACGUGCCCGCGCUGCCCGGGGGCCCACAGCCCACGAACCAGAGCUGGGUGCCCGGGUGACCCUGCCCCUGCUCGGGCUCGCCACCGGGAAGACACCAGGGGAACAUUGAAACUCACUGUUUUUUUUUCCUUUCUCUUCUGCCUUUGUUUGUUAAGAUAGGCGAGAGCCAUCGGUCUGAGCUUAAGGUCGAACACGAAACACAAACCGGAGGGUGAAAUGUUGAGAUGGGGGAGGACGCCCAGCCCCAGGUGUUCCAGGUCCUGCCAGCAUCCUCUGGAGGACACAGGGCAGGUGGGUGGGAGAGGCAGCUGGAGCCAGGCAGAUCCAGGGAGUAGCAGGAAGGGAAAGCCUUUCUAGACAGUCCCAGUGCCCCAUGGUGCCAGUUGGGCUGGGGGACAGAGUGGUGAUGGCUGGUGCUGUGGGACCCCUGGGAAAGAGCUCUUCUCUGAGCCACCUUGGGAAAUGAGUCCUCUGGGCAGAAGUGUCAGGAGUGGGGACCCUGCCCCAGGGCAAGGGGGGGCUCGUGGCCCCUCAGUCCUGGUGGAGAUGGGAGCUCUUCUGAGCCCACAGUCCCAGGCCAGCUCUGCUGGGUGUCCUGGUGGCUCCAGGCAGGGUUCCUGACUGAGCAGUGAGCAGGGGGUGGUGAUGGUGUGCAGCCAGCAGCUCUGGAGCAGCACCUGGCAGCCCUUGGGGAGGCAGGGGGAGCUGCAGCCCCUGCCCAGAGCAGGCUGGGCACAGUCCAGGGGGGUCCUGCUGGCACUGAGGGACCCCUGGGCUGGCACUGAGGGACCCCUGGGUUGGAGGCUCAGGGGCAGCUUGCAGGGGAGGGGAGGGGGAAGUAUUUAUUUGAUUUCAUGCACUCUUUUGCCGUUGAGUUUUUGCAUUGGAAGGAAGAGAGGGUCGAGCUUAGGGAGAGGAGAGAGGCCAUGGGUGAUGUGUCCCAUCACAUGUGUCCCACAAGAUGGCUCUUCUUGGCUUGGCUGGUGGCUGUGUCCCAUCACAUGGCUCAUCAUGGGGGUUAUGGAUGUUGGGGUGAAAGUUGGGGUCUGUGGGCCAUCCUCCAGGAGGGGCUGUGUGUGUGAGAAGGGACAGAUGUGGUGGCCCAGGCCUCUGGAUGCAAUGUGGAGUCCAUCCUGCUCCAAGCUGGAGUGACCCACAUUGCUCAUGGAGGUGCCACAGGGGCUCCUGGGGGGUCAGUGCCACCAUGGCUGUCCCAGUGUCUCACUGCCCACCCCUGGGGUGCCAGGAGCUGUCAGCAAGAGGGGUGCACCCACCUGCCAGGGGCUGGGGCUCCAUGGGGGUGAGGACCACGAUUCACAGGUGGUCCUGCUGUGCAUCAGGAUCCCAAACUGACCCCAUUCUGUGGGGCAGGAGAGGGCCAGGGAUGCCCCAGCCAUUCCACAGAGCUGCCAGGAGCAGCAGGGUUGGGAGGGGGUCAGGCUGGUGAGCACCUGGUCUGGAGAGGAUGGAGGGGCUGGGAGCUGCUGCUGUGUCCUGUGGGGUCUCUGCUCAGCCAUUCUGCUCCUGGGCACCACAGGCUCUCUGUGACCCCAGCCCUGAGUUUGCAGCGGGGUCAGAGCACAGAACCAGCACAUUUCCCCAGCCCAGCUCUUCCUGCCCCAGAGCUGGGUCUCAGCCAGCCUUAGGGACAGUGUCAGGGCAGGGGACCCAUUGGUGGCACCUCCUGCUCCUCUCCUGACCCACAAGGCUGUGACAGAGGAGCCCCGUGUGCCACUGCCACCUUCACCCAGGGCAUACGGUAGGCACAGUCUCUAAAGACAUCCUUACAAGUUAAUUAAUUAUGUUUACAUUAUUUGAUCAUGUACAGAAUUUAAUAUAUUCUAUUAUAUAUAAUCUUUCUUGAAUGCUUUUUUAAAAAAGGAUUAUUUGGUCAGGAUCAUUACCGCAUUCCUUUUAUAAACACCACCUCUCCUUUCAGGCAUCUUUCAAAUCCUUGGAAACUGAUUGCAAAUGGCUCUUUAACCCCUGAACCCCCAGUUCAGCACGUGGUGUGAGGGACCCAGAGGCAGGAGCAAACUGGGGCCUCUGCACCCCAGGAAAGGGAGAAAGGGAAGGGUCCUGGCUCUUUCAGGCAUCUGACCUCCAGGAAAGGGAGAAAGGGAAGGGUCCUGGCUCUUUCAGGCAUCUCACCUCCAGGAAAGGGAGACAGGGAUGGAGUCCUGGGUUCUCCAGGCAUCUGCACCCCAGGAACGGGAGACAGGGAUGGAGUCCUGGGUUCUCCAGGUGUCUGACCUCCAGGAAAGGGAGAAAGGGAAGGGUUCCUGGUUCUUCCAGGCAUCUACCCUUCAGGCACAGAUCCAGCAGCACACCAGCAUGCCGGGCAGCAGUGGGGCAUUUGGAGAUGGGAUUCUCCCAUGCUGUGGUCCCUGAGUCCCCUGCGGUGUCACAGACACUGGCUGGCCAUCAGUGUGACGGGAGAGCCCCAGCAGCAGGAGGGAAGUGUCCCCUUGUCCCCAGAACAGGAGGGAAAUGUCUCCUUGUCUCCAGCAGCAGGAGGGAAGUGUCCCCAGCACUGGAAGGAGGUGUCCCCUUAGGGCAAUACAACAUCCCCUUGUCCCCAGCACAGGAGGGAAGUGUCCCUAUGUCCCCAGCACUGGAGGGAAGUGUCCCUUUGUCCCCAAACUGCAGGAGAGAAUUGUCCCUGUGUCCCCAGCAGCAGGAGGGAGGUGUCCCUUUGUACCCAAAAGAGAAGGGAGGUGUCCCAGCACAGGAGAGAAGUGUCCCUGUGUCCCCAGAAGGAGGAGGGA